GACGAACCACCCAAACGUUAUUCGGAAUCACUGGGCUUAAAGAGUGCGUAGGCGGCUAUGUAAGUAGGGUGUGAAAACCUGCAGCUUAACUGUGGGCGUGCGGUCGAUACGGGCAUCACUGGAGUUCGGCAGGGGAGACUGGAAUUCCUGGUGUAGCGGUGAAAUGCGCAGAUAUCAGGAGGAACACCGGUGGCGAAGGCGGGUCUCUGGGCCGAUACUGACGCUGAGGAGCGAAAGCGUGGGGAGCAAACAGG
rnacentral:rRNA from 1 species